AGUGAACGCUGGCGGUAGGCCUAACACAUGCAAGUCGAACGGCAGCACAGUAAGAGCUUGCUCUUACGGGUGGCGAGUGGCGGACGGGUGAGGAAUACAUCGGAAUCUACUUUUUCGUGGGGGAUAACGUAGGGAAACUUACGCUAAUACCGCAUACGACCUACGGGUGAAAGCAGGGGAUCUUCGGACCUUGCGCGAUUGAAUGAGCCGAUGUCGGAUUAGCUAGUUAGCGGGGUAAAGGCCCACCAAGGCGACGAUCCGUAGCUGGUCUGAGAGGAUGAUCAGCCACACUGGAACUGAGACACGGUCCAGACUCCUAAGGGAGGCAGCAGUGGGGAAUAUUGGACAAUGGGCGCAAGCCUGAUCCAGCCAUACCGCGUGGGUGAAGAAGGCCUUCGGGUUGUAAAGCCCUUUUGUUGGGAAAGAAAAGCAGCAGGUUAAUACCCCGCUGUUCUGACGGUACCCAAAGAAUAAGCACCGGCUAACUUCGUG
rnacentral:rRNA from 1 species